CCUACGGGAGGCAGCAGUGAGGAAUAUUGGUCAAUGGACGAGAGUCUGAACCAGCCAAGUAGCGUGAAGGAUGACUGCCCUAUGGGUUGUAAACUUCUUUUAUAUGGGAAUAAACUGUUCCACGUGUGGGUUUUUGUAUGUACCAUAUGAAUAAGGAUCGGCUAACUCCGUGCCAGCAGCCGCGGUAAUGCGGAGGAUCCGAGCGUUAUCCGGAUUUAUUGGGUUUAAAGGGAGCGUAGGUGGGUUGUUAAGUCAGUUGUGAAAGUUUGCGGCUCAACCGUAAAAUUGCAGUUGAAACUGGCAGUCUUGAGUACAGGAGAGGUGGGCGGAAUGCGUGGUGUAGCGGUGAAAUGCAUAGAUAUCACGAAGAACUCCGAUUGCGAAGGCAGUUCACUGGACUGCAAAUGACACUGAGGCACGAAAGUGUGGGUAUCAAACAGGAUUAGAUACCCCGGUAGUC
rnacentral:rRNA from 1 species